ensembl:snoRNA
GAGCCAGCCAAUUAAUCUGAUUAACUGAAUGGGUUUCUGCAGAAAUUUAGAAACAGCUGGCACCAGUGAUGCCAUUUUAUGAGAUUUAAGGACAACUGGGGUCAAUACGGUCCCUCGGAAUGACUACAAUA